GAUGAACGCUGACAGAAUGCUUAACACAUGCAAGUCAACUUGAAUUUGGGUUUUUAACUUAGAUUUGGGUGGCGGACGGGUGAGUAACGCGUAAAGAACUUGCCUCACAGCUAGGGACAACAUUUAGAAAUGAAUGCUAAUACCUGAUAUUACGAUUUUAAGGCAUCUUAGAAUUAUGAAAGCUAUAUGCACUGUGAGAGAGCUUUGCGUCCCAUUAGCUAGUUGGAGAGGUAACAGCUCACCAAGGCGAUGAUGGGUAGCCGGCCUGAGAGGGUGAACGGCCACAAGGGGACUGAGACACGGCCCUUACUCCUACGGGAGGCAGCAGUGGGGAAUAUUGGACAAUGGACCGAGAGUCUGAUCCAGCAAUUCUGUGUGCACGAUGAAGUUUUUCGGAAUGUAAAGUGCUUUCAGUUGGGAAGAAAUAAAUGACGGUACCAACAGAAGAAGUGACGGCUAAAUACGUGCCAGCAGCCGCGGUAAUACGUAUGUCACGAGCGUUAUCCGGAUUUAUUGGGCGUAAAGCGCGUCUAGGUGGUUAUGUAAGUCUGAUGUGAAAAUGCAGGGCUCAACUCUGUAUUGCGUUGGAAACUGUAUAACUAGAGUACUGGAGAGGUAAGCGGAACUACAAGUGUAGAGGUGAAAUUCGUAGAUAUUUGUAGGAAUGCCGAUGGGGAAGCCAGCUUACUGGACAGAUACUGACGCUAAAGCGCGAAAGCGUGGGUAGCAAACAGG
rnacentral:rRNA from 1 species